rnacentral:rRNA from 1 species
GAUGAACGCUGGCGGCGUGCCUAAUACAUGCAAGUCGAGCGAACAGACGAGGAGCUUGCUCCUCUGACGUUAGCGGCGGACGGGUUAGUAACACGUUGAUAACCUACCUAUAAGACUGUGAUAACUUCGGGAAACCGGAGCUAAUACCGGAUAAUAUAUUGAACCGCAUGGUUCAAUAGUGAAAGACGGUUUUGCUGUCACUUAUAGAUGGAUCCGCGCCGCAUUAGCUAGUUGGUAAGGUAACGGCUUACCAAGGCAACGAUGCGUAGCCGACCUGAGAGGGUGAUAGGCCACACUGGAACUGAGACACGGUCCAGACUCAUACGGGAGGCAGCAGUAGGGAAUCUUCCGCAAUGGGCGAAAGCUUGACGGAGCAACGCCGCGUGAGUGAUGAAGGUCUUCGGAUCGUAAAACUCUGUUAUUAGGGAAGAACAAAUGUGUAAGUAACUAUGCACGUCUUGACGGUACCUAAUCAGAAAGCCACGGCUAACUACGUG